GUCCACGCCGUAAACGAUGAGUACUAGGUGUUGCGGGUAUUGACCCCUGCAGUGCCGUAGCUAACGCAUUAAGUACUCCGCCUGGGAAGUACGGUCGCAAGACUAAAACUCAAAGGAAUUGACGGGGCCCGCACAAGCGGUGGAGCAUGUGGUUUAAUUCGAAGCAACGCGCAGAACCUUACCUGGGCUUGACAUCUACGGAACCUUGUGGAAACACAGGGGUGCCUUCGGGAGCCGUAAGACAGGUGCUGCAUGGCUGUCGU
rnacentral:rRNA from 1 species